UACGUAGGGGGCAAGCGUUGUCCGGAAUCAUUGGGCGUAAAGAGCGCGUAGGCGGCCCUGUAAGUCCGCUGUGAAAGUCAAGGGCUCAACCCUUGGAUGCCGGUGGGUACGGGCAGACUAGAGUGUGGUAGGGGAGACUGGAAUUCCUGGUGUAGCGGUGAAAUGCGCAGAUAUCAGGAGGAACACCGAUGGCGAAGGCAGGUCUCUGGGCCACUACUGACGCUGAGAAGCGAAAGCAUGGGGAGCGAACAGG
rnacentral:rRNA from 1 species